CCCUUAGAUGUUCUGGGCCGCACGCGCGCUACACUGACGAUGGCAACGAGUUUUUCCUUCGCCGAAAGGUGUGGGUAAUCUUUUGAAACAUCGUCGUGCUGGGGAUAGAUCAUUGCAAUUUUUGAUCUUGAACGAGGAAUUCCUAGUAAGCGCGAGUCAUCAGCUCGCGUUGAUUACGUCCCUGCCCUCUGUACACACCGCCCGUCGCUCCUACCGAUUGAAGUUUUCGGUGAGUUGACAGGAGGAUUUUUUUGAAACUGGUUCGCCAGUGGAUUUUAGAUCCAAAUGCCAACGAAUCGAUGGCUUUAGAGGAAGGAGAAGUCGUAACA
rnacentral:rRNA from 1 species